UACGUAGGGUGCAAGCGUUAAUCGGAAUUACUGGGCGUAAAGUGUGCGCAGGCGGCAGAGCAAGUCGAGUGUGAAAGCCCCGGGCUUAACUUGGGAAUUGCGCUCGAAACUACUUGGCUGGAGUGUGGCAGAGGAAGGUGGAAUUCCAGGUGUAGCGGUGAAAUGCGUAGAGAUCUGGAGGAAGACCGGUGGCGAAGGCGGCCCGCUGGGCAGAUACUGACACUGAGGCGCGACAGCGUGGGGAGCAAACAGG
rnacentral:rRNA from 1 species